UAGUCUGAUAUUCCAUGUUUCUAGGGUAUCAAGAGACUUGGAGCAUAGAAUGUCAGGUCUAGAA
ensembl:miRNA mdo-mir-7385g-2 mdo-mir-7385g-2